UACGUAGGCAGCAAGCGUUGUUCGGAGUUACUGGGCGUAAAGAGUGUGUAGGCGGUGCUCUAAGUUCGGUGUGAAAUCUCCUGGCUUAACUGGGAGGGUGCGCCGGAAACUGGGGUGCUCGAGCGUGGGAGAGGAAAGCGGAAUUCCUGGUGUAGCGGUGAAAUGCGUAGAUAUCAGGAGGAACACCUGUGGUGUAGACAGCUUUCUGGACCAUUGUUGACGCUGAGACACGAAAGCGUGGGUAGCAAACAGG
rnacentral:rRNA from 1 species